rnacentral:rRNA from 1 species
CCUACGGGUGGCAGCAGUGGGGAAUAUUGGACAAUGGGGGCAACCCUGAUCCAGCCAUGCCGCGUGUGUGAAGAAGGCCCUCGGGUUGUAAAGCACUUUCAGUGAGGAAGAACGCCUGGUGGUUAAUACCCAUCAGGAAAGACAUCACUCACAGAAGAAGCACCGGCUAACUCCGUGCCAGCAGCCGCGGUAAUACGGAGGGUGCGAGCGUUAAUCGGAAUUACUGGGCGUAAAGCGCGCGUAGGUGGCUUGAUAAGCCGGUUGUGAAAGCCCCGGGCUCAACCUGGGAACGGCAUCCGGAACUGUCAAGCUAGAGUGCAGGAGAGGAAGGUAGAAUUCCCGGUGUAGCGGUGAAAUGCGUAGAGAUCGGGAGGAAUACCAGUGGCGAAGGCGGCCUUCUGGACUGACACUGACACUGAGGUGCGAAAGCGUGGGUAGCAAACAGGAUUAGAUACCCUGGUAGUA